CCUGAUAGAUACUACUAACUAGUAUGUCAUAGCUUACACUAUAAAAUAUCUUUUCACAUGGCAUAACUAACAUUGGUUCUUCAGUAGACUGUAAAUCAGCAUGGGAGUUGCCAAGGAAGUCAGUUUUCUUGAUUGUUGGAACCGGGCAGUUUAUACAAUUAUCACGAAAUUCUGUAACUCAAAGAUUCGAGAGACGAGAGGUAUCUGUUGGACACCAUGAUAAAUAACGUUGUUGUAACGCCUCUGUACAACACGUGUCAAACCUGCAACUGCAAAGAGUGUCUUGCUUUAUCUUUGUCUGAAAUCUGAACUGACGAUAAAAAAAAUACUUACAAAAACCAAAUUCCAACAUUCACAAAAAACCAAACCGCUUUUAAAAAGAGGAACUUUUCGUACUUCGUUCUUCUCAAGGUCGUCCGUGAUUUCUCUGAAUCUUCUAACGGUGGUUUAAAUACCAGAACUAGAUCUUAUAUUGCUUUUGAAUUGGUACCAGAACUAAUGAUGGUCAAUGUCGAUGGAACAAAAUUCUUUGAAAUUGACCCGUGUGGAUUGUGAUGAUGUGUCAUAUGAAAUUUAGUUUGAGCGGAAUACCAGUAGAUUAUGGUAAUGAGCCACGUGAAAUUUAAUUUGAGGAGAAGAUUAUUUGAUGUACAAAUGAAGUUCCACACUAAUAACCGAAAGAAUUGAGAAUCCUCAUAUAAAGUGCAUAGAUACUCUUAAU
rnacentral:lncRNA from 1 species